rnacentral:snoRNA from 1 species
AUUCGGCAUGAUAACUAGGGCGAACGUCUUAAUUCCCACGACACAGCCCCUAUAAAUUGCCGAUAUAUCAACUGUGGAGAUCUUACACGGGCUGUUGACGUUUAUUCUUCUGUGCAACUUUUCGUUUAAAUCGCCACGACAUUC